rnacentral:ncRNA from 1 species
AAAAAAGCUAUGAAGGAGAGAGUAGAUUGCAUCAGAUUUUACAGAGAGCUGGUGGGUGGUGCAAACCAGUAAAUCUAUGCUAUUGAAGAUCACUCUGGAGCUGCAGGCUGAAAUUUACAAUUAGGCUGUGCCGCAUAUAAUGCGUUAAAAAAAAUGAGUGCUAAAAAUUUUGGCAUUAGGGUGGUAACGCGGGUUAAACCUCGUCCCUUAC